rnacentral:rRNA from 1 species
UACAGAGGCCUCGAGCGUUAAUCGGAGUCACUGGGCUUAAAGGGUGCGUAGGCUGGUCCGCAAGUGCCUUGUGAAAUCCCACGGCUCAACCGUGGAAUGGCUCGGCAGACUGCGGGUCUUGAGGUCGGUAGGGGUCGCUGGAACUCUAGGUGGAGCGGUGAAAUGCGUAGAUAUCUAGAGGAACGCCAAAGGUGAAGACAAGCGACUGGGCCGAUUCUGACGCUGAGGCACGAAAGCGUGGGGAGCGAACGGG